AACAAUCAAGCAGUUGGUGAACUCAGCGGUCACAGCCGCAGUGUCUCCAGUGCCUUUUUCUCCCUACUCGCAGGCAACAGGGUUCUGACCACUUGUAUGGACAACAAGAUCAGGGUAUUCAACACUUCCUAAAUGGAUGGCAGGACUCCUGUACUAAAAUCAAUUACGCACAACAUGCAGACAGGUCAGUGGUUGUCCAAGCUAAGUGCAGUGUGGGAUCCAAAACAGCAAGAAUGUUUUGUGAUUGGCAGUGUAGACAGGCUUCGUCGAAUUCAGGUACAUCACGAGAGCGGUCGCCGCCUACACACUUUUCAAAACAUGGACCACCUCACCACGGUGCGCUCCAUCACAGCAUUCCACCCAAGCAGGAACAUUCUGCUUGGAGGCAAUUCAAGUGGGAGGCUGCACAUAUUUACUGACUCUUUCAUCAUCUAGAAAAUAUAAAUUUCUUUACCUGUUUGUUGAUUUGAUUUGUGUUGGUUUUCUGCUUCCCUCUUUUUCCCCUUAUUGUA